GCAUAUUCUGUCUCGCGAAUUAGCACGCGGCGGCGCGGUACCUUCACGAGAUGCACUGCUGAACGAUGAGCACUGCUGAAAUCCCCCUCCCCAGCGUUGGAGGCCGCGGCGCCUUGGAGACCGCGGCGCUCGCCAUCACCGACAUCACCCUCCGCGGCGCAUCCUCCGAGACCGCCACGCUCCCGGAGCGCACCGCCUCGGAGAUCACGGCGGUCACCACCACCGGCAGAUCCGCGGCGCCUCCUCCGAGACCGCCACGGGGACCAUCACGGCGCCCAUCACCACCAACACCCCCCGCGCAUCAGGAUCGGUUGUAGGAUUCUAUCGAUUUCUAUUUUCUCACAAAACCCAAGCUGGUCGAAGAUGAAAUUUCCGAGCUGGUCGAAGCUGUUUAGCUGCUUCGGCGGUUGCCUCCCCUGCAGCAACUGUUCAACCAACGUAAGCUGCUUCGGCACGAUAACCAACAAUUACGGGGGGCAGGACGAUGAUUUAGCUCGCAACUUCACAAACAAAAAGGAAUCAGAAAGCCAAGCUAGCGCUAGUAAGCAAGCUGCAUUGCCUGAUUUAAUAUCCAUGUAAUAAUUAAUAUCGAUGUAAUAAUAAUUGCUGCAUUUAGCUAGAAAGGACCGGUAAUCGUAGACAUCGUAAUGUAUUGUGAGAUGGGAUGAACUGAUCUGUAGGCAUCCAAGGCGAUUGUAAUGUAUUGUGAGAUGUGAGAUGAUUUGUAUUGUGAGAUGUGAGAUGUAAUGUAGAAUACCUAGCUUGCAGCUGGUUUCCCCUUUAUAUAUUUUUUGUUUUGAUUCUGUCC